CAAAUGCUUUUUCAUCCACGUUGGCCUUAUCUAGUACCAUUAACUGCUUUCAGACCUAGUCAUGCUGAUCUGGGUGAAAUUCAAUGGUGAACAAAAAUAUGGCAAGAUCAUUGAUCUGACACUUGAAAACCUUUUGAUUGGAGGUAAAUGUUUAAUUUGUGAUUGGAAAUAAAUGUAUUGUUUUCAUACCAGUCAGUCUGAUUACUCUUACCAUUACGAUUGCAAUUCUAAUUGUAGGUUGUUGUUUUAAUGUUUGUCACAGCUUUCCUGAAAUUUGAGAUUCCACUUACUAGUUUAUCAGAGGCAAAGCUGUAUGAUGGGUCUGGAACUGAAGCUGAUGGGGAUGUGUUUGAGGAGGUGGUGACACGGCCAGACCUUGGUGUUUUCAAGCUCACACUGAACAAUGAUGCUAAAGAAUCUUCCCUGAUGAGUCCUGUCUCUGUCAGUUCUAUGAUGGGUGGUUCAGACCAUGAGUCGGAUGAUACAAUCAUUUUGAGCGAGGAUGGAAGCCCCUCAAGAAAGCGUCAAAGAUCUAAUGACGAAGCCAAAAAAACCUAAUAGAGAGCAUACUGAAGAAAAAGACUGGUGGAGAGGUUGUCAUCAAGGAAUACUGAAACUAAAAGCCUGACUGACUCAUGGGUAAGUUUAAAGCAAAGAUUCAUAAUGAAAAUUGUUGAGCAUUACUCGCUCCCAUAUCUGCUGAAUGUUAAAAAUGACUUCUGUAUCAGUAUCUCAGUCACAUAAUUGGUUAGGCUACUGCUGACCAUCCACUGCUAUUGGUAGAAGAUUUCUCUUGUAUCAAACUCGAUGGGCAUGAUACUGAUUCAAAAACCACUCCUGAUAUUUAUCUGACUGGGGACCAGUGCUGCUUGUGGUGAUUCUGAUUGCCGCCUAAACAUAACAUUAUAUUAUUGUCAGGACAUCACCACCACGCAGUGUUAGAGAAAUGUUUGCAAAAGGCAUCGUCUCCUUGUUCCCAUACCUGAAGGAUCCCUACACCGCAAGUAUACAUUACAGCUGCGUUGAAUUCGUUUGGUAUGGUAUCUGAGCAAAUGGGACUUGGUCAUUUGUUUUUUCUUUCAAGAUUAGUAACCAUGUUCAUUUUCCUAAGGAACAUUAUUACGACCCUAAUAGUGGAGAAGGGUACCUCUCGUAUAGAAUCAAAACCAUUCAGAGGAAUUUAGCUUCAUCAGAGAAACGGCCCACUCAACUAUACUCUGGAGGGUCAACUUCUGAGUGGGAGUUCAGUCCAUCCACUUUGGCUACCCUGAGUGAAGACCAGUGCCGAGAGGCCAUUUCUCUUAUGAAGCAUUCUUCUGAUGAAGAAACAGUCAAACAGAAGAUGAAAUUGACCUUUGAGUACAGGAAGAAGAUGACCCAUGACCCGAGUAAAUGCUACACCAUCCUAACCCAAUUUCCACACUUUCUGGAUGUGAAGGGCAUGAUUGAACAGGAUUUUGUGCUGCUAUUUGGAGAGGGAACAUCAAACAAGUUUUUGGAGAGGUGGCCAACUACAUUCAAGCAAACGAUCAUCAUGCUAAGCAAGGCCACUCAGGGAGCUGAACUUCAGGAGCUGAUCCAGAUGGCAGAAUCUGCAGGUGAUGAGGGAGCUGACACGAAUACCGACGGAUGGGACGGUGACCUUUCCUCCAUCCUUCUCCUGCUCCAUUUGAUUCCUACUUCAUCACAAGGCCACAAAAGACCAGGCAAGAUGUUUGCAUCCCAAGCUGAACAGCAUCUUGUGAUAUUCCAAAAGGCAGGAACCAGUAUCCAGGAGCACCUUGAUGCGAUUGACCAGAGCCGCAAACCAUAUCUUCUUGCAGUCGGGACCAGGAAGAGCAGCAUCCAUGCUUACUUCAUCAUCCUGGAACAAGCAAGCUUUGCCGUGCAAGUCAACGAGCACUCUUAGUGCCUUCGAUGAGCUUUCCAAGACUCACUUUGUUUUUGGUACGGCUUACAAUACAAUGUUGCGCAACAUGUCCACCUUCAUACAGACAACCGUGUUCAACAUAGACAUUGGGAAGGUUAAGGAGACUCCAAGGGUUGCUGAGCUCAGAGCUAGACUCCUGCACUCAUGCUGAUAUGAGUUAUAAUGAUGUGUUUUGUUUGCCAAACUAGUCAUGGAAGUACCAACUUGUUCGUGAGGCAUCUCAAGUUGAUGCAUGGAAUGUGCCCUGGUAGAACUCUUAGACUAAAAUGUGGUCAAGCAGAUUGUUGUUGUGUAUUUGGCACAUUUUCAGGCUUUAGGAAGCAUUUGAACAGGGCACAUUCCGGAGACUGUCACAUUUUGUUAAACGCUAACUUGGAUGCUAAUACAGCCAUUGAUAAUCAGCCAAGAAAUGCUGAUUUUCCUUCAAAUUCUAGUUGUAACCAUGUUGUGCCAAUAUCUAACAAGAACACACUUGAAGUGUGCGUCUGCAAUUGCACAACAGCAGUGUCACGACUCACGCCGAAGUUGGUGCCUCUCCUUGUUCAGGCGACGUUCGGCGGUCGACGUCACCAGCUUUCUAGCCUCCACCGAUCUACAUUUAUUUUUCCAUUUGUUUUGUCUGUAUUGUUCAUACCUGGUUCCCAUUACAUUUGAAUUAUUUCCCUAUUUAACCCUCUGGAGCCAUCAUGGUUUUGUGCGUGUAUAUUGUUGUCAGUUGUCUCGUUUAUGUGAUUCUGGAUUUUCGUUCUCCUUGUUGGAAGAUUGAUUUUGAGUAAAGCCUUACCCACAUCACCUAGACUCUGACAUGCAGGCUGCAGGUGUAGGUCAGACAACUGUAAAUAGUUUUGUAUCUUCCAUGGAAGAAGCAGUUCAAGAGAUACAGGGUCAAGCUAAAGCAACCGCUCUUACAUGUAUAUCUUCAAAAGACACAGAAACUGUCCGAAAAAUCCAACAUUCUUUUCAGGAUAUUGAAAAUCCUUUCACAUUGUUAAAUUCGGUAUCCAAACAAAGUGUUUAUUUUAUACAAAAAUGGGGAGCAGUUCAACCAGUUGAGAAAGUCCUUGGUGUUAGAUUUGACAAUAGAAGAAACAACCCUACUGGAACUUAUGAUCAAAUGGUCAUAACUGAUACAUUUUCUUACAUUCUUCAGACAUUGCAGUCAAUUUUGAACAACAAACACAAGUGGCAUGUUUAACUCGGGGCAUGAUAUUAAAGAUGGAGUUUACUUCGAUUUGGAAGACGGACUAUAUAUGAAGAGACGUCCUCUUGCAUUGCAACUCUUUUAUGAUGACUUUGAGACUGCUAAUUCAUUGGGAUCAAAAAAGGCUAUUCACAAGUUGGAAGGUAUAUACUUUACUUUGAGACAUUUUACCCCAAAGUUUAAUUCAAUUUAGGUAAAUAUUAACUUAUGUGCAGUCCUCCAUACCCAGGACCUUAAAACGCAUGGAUUUGAUUCCAUUCUUGAGCCAAUAGUAAGCGAUUUGAAAGUGCUUGUGACUGAUGGUAUUGAAGUGCCCUUCUUCAGUGGUCGUAUACAUGGCAGUAUUGCCCAAGUAACUGGAGAUAUUCUUUCUAUGCAUUGCAUGUUUGGUUUUGUGGAGUCAUUUAGUGCUCGUUGUUGUUGCCAUUUUUGCCUCACUGAGAAAGUGGAUUUUCAAACUGUGUUCUCUGAGGAUGACCCAAGAGUGACUUUACGAACAAAACACAUGCACUCAGACCAUUGUCAAACUAUUUAGGCAAACCCAACACUACCUCAUGGGUACGGUGUGAAGCAUGCUUGCUUAUUGAACUCUCUGCAGUACUUCAACACCACAGACAAUUUUUCUGUUGAUAUAAUGCAUGACAUUUAAUUUAACUAUGGCUACACAGAGAGGAGGAAUCGUCCACCUGCACUCAAAAUGGAUGAUGGGAGCAAUGAUUUGGGUCUAAAUGCUAUUCAGUCUUGGUGUCUUCUCCGUAAUUUGCCAUUGAUAUUUGGUGAUCUGGUACAGAAAGAUGAUAAAUACUUGCAGCUUCUUCUGUUACUACUACACAUUGUAAAUAUUGUGUUUUCUCCUAUACUGAAGCACUUAAUUGCUGAACAUCCUAGGCUUUUCAAGUAUUUGUUUCCUGAUAGAAAUCUGUUACCGAAACCCCACUUCAUGAUACAGUAUCCUUGUUGUAUAAGGAAUAUUGGGCACAUUCUUCACUCGUGGUGUACCAGCUACGAGGCAAAACAUAAUUUCUUUAAAAAAGCAACUGAAGAGUUUUAAGAAUGUCACUAUGACCUUAGUCAAGAAACACAAAAAAUGACAUGGCAUAUAAUUGGGAAACGUUCAGCCAGGAUAGACUAGCUAUAGGUCCAGGAAAGAUGUCAAGGCUCAAUGACCUGACAGAAAGCCAUGAGAUUGCUGCCAAGUUGAAUGUCUCAGUGCCCACAAACGUUUUGUCAGUUAAAUGGCUAAAGCACAAUGGUAUAGAAUAUCGUCUUGAUUUGGUCAUAUGUGGUGAAGUAGUCAUGGAACUGCCAGUAUUUUACAAAAUUAAGGCUAUUGUUUGUUGGAAAAUGCUGACAUUUACAUUCAAAACACAUGUUUCUCACAACCUAACCAUAAGUAUCAGCCCUGGCUUAAACUGUUAUCAAGUUAGAGUAGGGGACAAUGUAGUCCAAAAAAUCCCUUGCUCCAGAUGACAUGAGCAAAUCAAAAGGUUUGUGGUACAUGAUGUCAUUUACAUGAAAUACCUUGCAUGGUGGACUUUUCUUCAAAACAACUUCAAAUGCAUGCAAAUGAUCAUCAAAAACAUAAGGUUUCAAGAGCUGACCCAACCCCCCAAAAAACAUUUUCCUCUUUCAGAACAAAUCAAAUCGUAUGUGACAAAUAACAGUUUAAGCCAGGGCUGAUACUUAUGGUUAGGUUGUGAGAAACAUAUGUUUUGAAUGGAAAUGUCAGCAUUUUCCAAUAAACCUAUUGAUUUGCUCAUGUCAUAUGGAGCAAGGGAUUCUUUUGACUACAUUCUACUCUCACUUGAUAACAGUUUAAGCCAGGGCUGAGACUUAUGGUUUUGUCAUAAUAAACAUAUUUGAAUGUUGAAACAGCCUUGCUUGAGUUUAUUGUGAAAUUCCAAGUGCUUUUACAACAUCUAAUUUCCAUUUACAUGGGGGAAGAGUAAAUAAAUUAACACUGAAUAGAGUAAACACAUUUUUACUCUAAUAGGAGUCACCCUAGAUCAACAUUAGUGAGUGUCACUAUAACACUCAAAGUGUUGAUUACCUCUUAGUGUUAAAUUUGAUCAACACCGGCCAGUGUAGUGCAGUGUUAACUUUUUGCACUCCUCAGUGUUAAAUCAACACUAGAAAUGUAACACUUUGAUCAGUGUACUUUUUACUUUGUGUAGAGUGGGACCAUAUGUACUCGCUGACAGUGUUAAAUUUAACACAUAAAGUGUUGAUUUAACACUUUCAAAAUUGACUGUGUAUGAAUAGUGAUGAUACCUAGUGCAUUACUUUUAAUCAUUAUCACGACUUCUGCCGAAGUCGAUGCCUCUCCUUGUUCGGGCGGUGCUCGACGUUCGACGUCACCGGUCUUCUAGCCAUCAUUGAUCCAUUUUUCAUUUUCCAUUGGUUUUGUCUUGUCUUCCUACACACCUGGUAACAAUCCCAUUCAAUACAUGUUGUGUAUUUAACCCUCUGUUUCCCCUCAUGUCCUCGUCAGAGAUCGUUUGUUUGUUAUGUGCUCGUGUAUUUUGUAUUGGUGUGCGACGGGUUAUUUUCUACCCAUGUUACUUUAUUUAUGUACUUUG